rnacentral:rRNA from 1 species
UACGAAGGGUGCAAGCGUUACUCGGAAUUACUGGGCGUAAAGCGUGCGUAGGUGGUUUGUUAAGUCUGUUGUGAAAGCCCCGGGCUCAACCUGGGAAUGGCAAUGGAUACUGGCAAGCUAGAGUGCGGUAGAGGGUAGUGGAAUUCCCGGUGUAGCGGUGAAAUGCGUAGAGAUCGGGAGGAACACCAGUGGCGAAGGCGGCUACCUGGCCAGCACUGACACUGAGGCACGAAAGCGUGGGGAGCAAACAGG